CAGCAGCCGCGGUAAUACCGGCGGCCCGAGUGGCGGUCACUAUUAUUGGGCUUAAAGCGUCCGUAGCCGGGUUGGGAAGUCCUCCGGGAAAUCUGGCCGCUUAACGGUCAGAAUGCCGGAGGAUACUCCCAGCCUAGGGAGCGGGAGAGGCCGAGGGUAUUCCCGGAGUAGGGGUGAAAUCCUAUAAUCCCGGGAGGACCACCUGUGGCGAAGGCGCUCGGCUGGAACGCGUCCGACGGUGAGGGACGAAGGCCAGGGGAGCAAACCGGAUUAGAUACCCGGGUAGUCCUGGCUGUAAACGAUGCGGACUUUGUGUCGGACAAGCUAUGAGCUUGUCCGGUGCCGGAGGGAAACCGUUAAGUCCGCCGCCUGGGGAGUACGGCCGCAAGGCUGAAGCUUAAAGGAAUUGGCGGG
rnacentral:rRNA from 1 species